GACGAACGCUGGCGGCGUGCUUAACACAUGCAAGUCGAACGGAAAGGCCCUGCUUGCCGUGUACUCGAGUGGCGAACGGGUGAGUAACACGUGGGUGAUCUGCCCUGCACUUCGGGAUAAGCCUGGGAAACUGGGUCUAAUACCGGAUAGGAGCCAUUUUGAGUGUGAUGUUUGGAAAGUUUUUUCGGUGUAGGAUGGGCUCGCGGCCUAUCAGCUUGUUGGUGGGGUAGUGGGCUACCAACCGGGCGACGGGUAGGUGGCCUGAGAGGGGGGACGGCCACAUUAGGGCUGAGAUACGGGGCAGACUCCUAUGGGGGGGAGAGGAGGGGAAAAUUUCGCAAUGGGCGCAAGCCUGAUGAAGCGGCGCCGCGUGGGGGAUGACGGCGUUUGGGUUGUAAACACGUGUUGUUAGGGACGAAGAUUUUUGUGACGGUACCUAGAUAAGAAGCAACGGCUAACUACGUG
rnacentral:rRNA from 1 species